rnacentral:lncRNA from 1 species
AUAGCUAACCUCCAGCCUUCAUGAAGAGCCCAUGGCAACUCUGUGGGAAUCCUUCCAGCAGCCCGCUUAUGGCUGGAGACAGAGGUGUGGCUUCUAUCUAAGCUUUUCCCUCUGACUCAGUCCAGGAGGCAACUGUCUUGGGAAGCAAAUGAUAACAGCAUCUGGGAGAUUCUCUUCUGGAUGGACUAGCAGGGAAUCAGGACAUGAACUCAGUGGACUAACUGCACCGAGACUCACCUGGUCAUUACUUGAAGGUCAUUACUUAAACCUCCAUGAAUCUCCUGAUGAACUCCCUCAGAAGGUGGAAGGAGCACCUGACACCGACCCGAGAUCAGCAGCAGCUACGCCCACGCUGUGGGCAGUUAAGAGGCAGCCAGUGGUACCAGUCGUGAGCGAUCAGAUUUGAGGACUCAGGAUUCUGGUUUCCUGAGUGUCAUGGACCUGCGGGCUGCAGAAAUGACAGCGACAGGUCUUCAGGCAGGUGCCACAGCACCCACACACUGCCAGCAUUUUGUGCAAAAUACCCAAAGCCACAUCACCAGAUCUGGGCUCUCCUAGCUUCCCUUUGCUAAAAUGCUGGCCAAAGAGCUUAACGAGCCACUCAGGGGCACAAGAUAGGUGAAACCUGCAUGUUUUGUUUGUUAAACUAUUUGCCACAUGGCACAAGAAAAUAACAAAAAAUAAACAAAAGGAAUAACUGCAGCAUCAUGGUUUUGUUAAGAUGUCCCAAAGCUGAUCAGGGCUUCCUGUUGAAAUCUAAAUGAGACUCUUCCUAGGUGGCUUACAUUCAGUCAGCUGUGGCUCUGUGCAAAGAAAACCAGUUUCCCUUGCUCAGAAAUUUGGAGCCACUGAUAAGAGAAGAAAAGUGUGAUUCCACAUGGAGGGUCAUGAUACAAUCUGAUCUCUGACCCCGUGGAGGUGAAGGGGCUUGUUCUGCAUGCCAGGCUGAGGACUCUCGGGACUGAGGCAUUCAGAGUCGCAGCUUUAAAUCAUAAGGGUUCCCUGCCCAUUUCAUCACAAGUCAGCAGCAUCCAAAGAGUGGCGUUGAAGAAAAUCUCAUCACCGUGGGCUCAGUUUAGAUUGCUAGUCGGCUCAGAAAGCUACCUGCAAUUGCGUUUCCAGGAUGCACCACAAAUACUCUCCACAUGAGGGAGAACAUCAGUGGAUGAAACUCAGCAUGCUUAGUGCGGGGCCAAGUCCUCUAACAAAGGACACAGCGGUUAACCUGCAUUUCGAGGACAGGCACUGUCAAGCCCUCAUCAGGGAUCCAUCCAGAGAACUUUGGUAAUUCUUGCAAAAUCCCUGUAUCACACAAUUUCCUUCCUUAAUGUGAUGAAGUGUAACGGACACAUCUAUAAAGCUUCUUCAGUCCUGCAAUGCAUAGAUGAGCAGAAGGCCACAAAGCCAGGUCAUAGCACUCUCUACCAUCAGAAUGGAGCCUGCCUGAAUGUGAGCUCAGUGAGAGGCAGAUUCCAUUCUUGGGCCCGUCCACGGUGACUUGUCUGCUCUGCUCCAUCAUCCACUUAUUCACAAGUUCUGGGGCAACAAAGGGCACGUUUUGUUUCAUCUUGUGCCAAACCCUCGAUGUGUACUCACUCACUCUACCUCAUCUCAAGAACUUCAGGGCUGGGAGUGCAUUUGGAGAGAAGGCAUGUGCAAUAUCUGGAAGCCUUAGCACAGGUGGGUUAUACUGAUGCUCUAUAGCCAAACUAUAGGAACUUGGGUUCUAAGGCCAGCAGGCCCAGGUGUCACCCCAAUGGCUCCCUUCAACAGCAGCAUAAAUAAGUCAUGUCAGAAGAACUCACAUUAGCCAUCUCCAGGACUCAUUUCCCUCUCAACAGCAGGAGCUCCUGCAGUCAGAACAGCGGUAAUUUUCAAAUCAGGCAUGUGGUGAUGCAGCAGGAAAGUGCCUGCAUCCCAGGUGUCCCAGCAGCUUUCUGGAGACCUCUAAUACCCACAUCUGCACCACAAAACUGCACAGCAUUGAGUGAUACCAAUCUUCUUAUACAUAUAGGUAAGUGGUAAUAGAAUGCCUCAACAGCAGACCACCCAGGAACCAAAGACAUACUGGAUUUUCAAGUCAGAAGAAUGCUUAGAGAUCAUCUGACCCAAUAGCCAUAUUUUACAGUAAGAUGCAGAAGCCAGUGUCCACAGUGCUAAAGCCACUGGUCCAAGGUGAAAGAAUUUCAAACCCAUAAAUACCUCCAAGAAGCUUCCACUGGGACCCUAUGAUUUUAGUAAAAUUAUCAACAUUCAUGACCUAUGUCUACUGAUCUUAGCGUCUUCUCAGUAGGCAAUUAUUCUUUCUCACAUCAAUUUGCAGUUGCUAUAUUAUCAGCAUCCUUGGUAAAUCCAUCUUGUGUUCUGGGUGAAGACUAACAGAUUCUUCCUUCUUGGACUCUGUCAUUCACUCUCAUCCCUCAUAACAUCUGGCCACUGCUCUAAACACAGUGGCCUUUGAGAAAUGCUGCUGAAUUCUGACUAAGAAAGAGGAGAACUUUCAAAUACAAGAAAGUGAACAUUAUAGAGCUUACCACUCAAGAUGGUUUUCUACAAAUGCGGACAUGGGGCUGAUCUGCACCGUGUAAGUAUCAUUUGCCGAGUACUCAAAGAGUCCAUAGUAAGGGUUGAAGAGCUCCUGAGACAGAAGGAAGAAGAACUCCCGCGAGGGGCCACUGUAGUCCAGGCUGCAAAGAAAGCAGAGGUCCAGGAAGCUCAUUCUGUGCCCGGAGGUGGGGGGACCUGUUUGCACCCAGAUUCUAGUGUGCCCUUUCAGAGUUGGGUGCUGGGGAAAGCAGAGAGCAGCCUCUGCUCUUUGGAGUGAAUGCCAAUGGCAGCAUCAAUUUGCUGUAGAAAAUGAGGAUGCAGUAAUUGGUUUGGAGAUGUUUCUUAACCAGAUGUCCAUGAAUAAACUCUUAUGGCAGCUUU